GACGAACGCUGGCGGCGUGCUUAACACAUGCAAGUCGAACGAAGUGGCGAACGGGUGAGUAAAGCGUAAUCAACCUGCCCUUCAGAGGGGGACAACAGUUGGAAACGAAUGCUAAUACCCCAUACUGACGUGGGGGAUUGCGUCUGAUUAGCUAGUUGGAGGGGUAACGGCCCACCAAGGCGAUGAUCAGUAGCCGGUCUGAGAGGAGGAACGGCCACAUUGGGACUGAGACAAGGCCCAGACUCCUACGGGAGGCAGCAGUGGGGAAUCUUCCGAAAUGGACGAAAGUCUGACGGAGCAACGCCGCGUAAGUGAUGACGGCCUUCGGGUUGUAAAGCUCUGUUAAUCGGGACGCGGUACCGGAAUAGAAAGCCACGGCUAACUACGUGCCAGCCGCCGCGGUAAUAC
rnacentral:rRNA from 1 species